UACAGAGGGUGCAAGCGUUAAUCGGAAUUACUGGGCGUAAAGCGUGCGUAGACGGUAGCGUAAGUCGGGUGUGAAAGCCCCGGGCUCAACCUGGGAAUUGCAUUCGAGACUGCUCUGCUAGGGUGCGGAAGAGGGGAGCGGAAUUCCCGGUGUAGCGGUGAAAUGCGUAGAGAUCGGGAGGAACACCAGUGGCGAAGGCGGCUACCUGGACCAGCACUGACACUGAGGCACGAAAGCGUGGGGAGCAAACAGG
rnacentral:rRNA from 1 species